rnacentral:rRNA from 1 species
UACGUAGGGUGCGAGCGUUAAUCGGAAUUACUGGGCGUAAAGCGUGCGCAGGCGGUUUUGUAAGUCUGUCGUGAAAUCCCCGGGCUCAACCUGGGAAUUGCGAUGGAGACUGCAAGGCUAGAAUCUGGCAGAGGGGGGUAGAAUUCCACGUGUAGCAGUGAAAUGCGUAGAGAUGUGGAGGAACACCGAUGGCGAAGGCAGCCCCCCUGGGUCAAGAUUGACGCUCAUGCACGAAAGCGUGGGGAGCAAACAGGAUUACGAA